GCAAAUUUUACAAGCUCUCUGCUACAUCCUUUUUGUGCAUCUUUAAGAGUCAAAGUGGACUUCUAGAAGAGAAAAUAAUCCCAUCCUACAUAUGUGCAGCACUGCCAGAAAACUUAUCCUCUCCCCGCAGAAGUGUCAUCAAGAGCCAUUAAUUAUCUGUGGCUCCCAGGUGUCUCCCCUCCAAGCCCAAGCCAGGCCCGGACCUGCUUAGCUCCAACAUGGUGGAUGCCGUGUGUGCCUCCAGACCACCCUCUAGGCCAGUACUCCCAUGGUGACUUGCUUGCACUAAGGUGAGCAGGCGAUAUGAAGCCCCAUGUCUGAAACUCUGGAAAGCUUGUUCCUGUCAGAGGAGAAAAGCUUGUGUGAAACAGUUUGGUCCAGUCUAAGGUCUGAUUUUGUCUGAGUCUGAUCUCCAAGGUGGCUCAUGCUAUAAAAGCAACAGAAAAACCGUACAGGCUCCUGCAGAAGAUAAAUAUAUCAGAUUAGCAAGAGACCAAGAGCAUCCCUGCACAAGAUCAGCCCAAGUAGAGCAGCUACUUUCGCUGGACAAGCCCGUUCUUUACCUGC